rnacentral:lncRNA from 1 species
ACGAAACUACAAUCCGGGGCCCUUAGUAUAAAAGUCUAAUUAGUAAUCAUCAUUUGUUGAUAUAACUUGUAUCAAAGAAAACAAAUAGGUGCAUCCCAAAUCAGUGUGAAUAUCAAAUAUUAUAUUACACAUUACCAUAAAAAAUCUGCUAACAUGCCAAGGUGCAUAGUCGCUAAACUCUCUUGCGACAUUGUAGAUCUCAGGUACUUCCUCAACCAUUUCAACUUUGGUAAACUUCUUUCACUUGAUGCCACAGUCACAUUCAUAGCAAAGAAAGUUUGAUAUGCAAUAGAAAUAUUAGGAUAAUGAUAUGCCUCUUUGACAAACUCAAAAAUCUAAUUCUCAGCUGAUUCCAUGAGUUCAUGUUGGAUUUGCUUGAGUAGUCGUAUUGCUCUUAUAAUAUUUAAGAAGCGAUCAUCUCGAUGAUCCUUUCAUCUCAUCUACCUCCUUCUUUUUUUGUUUGGUCACUUCCAAACAGGUACUUUCUACCCGAACCUGACAUGACGAUACGAAAAUUGAAAGGAAUAAUUGGCUUUUAAAUUAGCGCAAAGUUAAUUAAGAUAUUAGUAGUUCUUCAGCUAAUAAUAUUAUGGCAAAAUCUGAUAGAGCAUAGAAGCUAGGGCAUAGAAGCAUAGUAUAGUACCUUCUCUCCUCCAUAAUCUAUCUUGACUACUAUGUGUGUGUGCGCGAUGAUUUCAUUACCCUGUAACAAUUCCCCAUUGGCCUGUUAGAUGAUCGAGAAUUCGGGAAUCAGAACUAGAAAAAAAAACAUAAAGAAGAACACGAGACGACAAAGCUGUAGAGGGCGCGAGGAGAUGUACCUACCAUAGUCAACGCGUGGUUCGUCAGGAGGCAGAGACAAUUAGACGAGCAUGAAGGAGUAGAACAUGCAAAAGGGCAGGAACGAGCGAACGAUCCGAAGGAAAAGGAAAUCGUGAAUAUGGCGUUUUGUUUCGUUUUCUCCAAGAUGUAGGGAUUCCUUCCUUUGCGUGUCCUCUCCCUGUACGUGGAA